UUCGACCUCGGAUCAGGCGUGACUACCCGCUGAAUUUAAGCAUAUAACUAAGCGGAGGAAAAGAAACUAACCAGGAUUCCCCCAGUAACUGCGAGUGAACGGGGAACAGCCCAUCGCCGAAGCCCCUGUCGACCCGGCAGCGGGCAAUGUGGCGAAUCGGGGUGGCCGAUACGUCGACCGGCGGGUCGUCGCCUCAAGUCCGCGUGACCGUGGCUCUCGCCCCGCGAGGGUGAAAGGCCCGUUGUGGCGACGACGUAUCCUCGCCGGCGGACUCGGCCUAGCCUCUGCACCCGAGUCGGAUUGCUUGAGAGUGUAAUCUUAAGCGGGUGGUAAACUCCAUCCAAGGCUAAAUAGUUCCACGAGACCGAUAGCAAACAAGUACCGUGAGGGAAAGUUGCAAAGAACUCUGAAGAGAGGGUUCAAGAGAACGUGAAACCGCUCGGUGGUAACCGGGAGGGAGCCUCGAAGCGCUAACGAGGAUCUGGGGAAUUCAGCCGGUGACGCGCGCCCGCCUCGGCUCGGCCAGUUCCGGACGUCGUUCUCUCGGGGACGGCGGCUCGGACGGACGGAUCCGCCCCGCUGCCUGCGGUGUCAGCCUCUCGGGGCGGCCGUAGGGAGCGACGGACCGGGUCGGGUCUGAACAGAGCGGCGGUUUGCGGCGUCCCGGUGCACUUUCCCCGCGGCCUCCAUUCAUAGCACGCCGCCACCGGAUGGGUUGCGGAAGGGUCGUCGCGCGGCAUUCGCGGGCAGUCGAGGCCCCCCGCGCGUCGUUCGCGACGUGUCGGUUUUUGGGGACUCUAGCCCGUUCCGCCCUCCAUCGGAGGGGCCCUCUCACCGCGUCCGUCCGUGUCCACCAAAGUCUUGUCUGACAUCGGCACUCUUAAACAAGUGCGCGGCUGGCGUCUCGGGUCUCGUCGGCGGUUGUUUUUUCCGGAACCUCGCGUUCGGGACGGCACCGUCGGCGGACACGCGUGAGAGACGUGCGGGUCUGCCGUCCUCGAUGUCAUGUGUGGGCGGCGAUAGUAGAUCGGCUUCCCUCCCGACCCGUCUUGAAACACGGACCAAGGAGUCUAACCUGUGCGCGAGUCGUGGGGCAAGGUUGCGAAGCCCUCUUCCACGGCGCAGUGAAAGCGAGAGGAGCAGUAUCCCUGUUCCGCAGCCCGCGCGAUCCCUGCCGAGCGCGUCGCGUCACACCGGCGCGCGGAGCGGGGCGCAGCGCGGACCCGCGCCAGCCGCUUAAUAUGCCGGCGGCGCGGAGUUGGAGCGUACACGUUGGGACCCGAAAGAUGGUGAUCUAUGCCAGGGCAGGGCGAAGCCAGAGGAAACUCUGGUGGAAGCCCGCCGCGAUUCUGACGUGCAAAUCGAUCGUCGGACCUUGGCAUAGGGGCGAAAGACUAAUCGAACCAUCUAGUAGCUGGUUCCCUCCGAAGUUUCCCUCAGGAUAGCUGGUGCGCGUGGAUAGCAGUCGCAUCCAGUCGAGCGAAUGAUUAGAGGCCUUGGGAUCGAAACGAUCUCAACCUAUUCUCAAACUCACAACGGGUGCGUAGACCGGUUUGCUUGAAUGAAACCCGGUCGUGACUUGAAGAUGCUGCGUACCCAGUGGGCCCGUUUUGGUAAGCAGAACUGGCGAUGCGGGAUGAACCGAACGUCCGGUUAGGGCACCGCAGCACGGACGCUCAUGGGAUCCCACGAAAGGUGUUGGUUGCUUUAGACAGCAGGACGGUGGCCAUGGAAGUUGGAAUCCGCCAAGGAGUGUGUAACAACUCACCUGCCGAAGCAACCAGCCCUGAAAAUGGAUGGCGCUCGAGCGUGUCGCCCAUACCGGACCGCCGGAUGCACGAGGUGUGUUCUCACACGUUCGAAACAGGCACCGGCGAGUAGGAGGGGCACGGCGGUAUGCGGGGAAGGUGUCGGACGUGAGUCCGCCCGGAGCUGCCGCCGGUGCAGAUCUUGGUGGUAGUAGCAAAUACUCCAGCGGGACCCUGGAGGACUGACGUGGAGAAGGGUUCCAUGGGAACAGCCGUUGACCAUGGGUCAGUCGAUCCUAAGGGACGGGACAACUCCUGUUCGAAAAGCGACGGGCGCUGCAAAAGGCGUGCCUCGAUCACCCGAAAGGGAAGCGGGUUAAUAUUCCCGCACCCGGACACGGCAGAUCUCGUCCACCGAUCGACUCCUCCGCGUUUUUUUCGGUUCUCGCCUUUUCUUCCGGUUCCGUUUCGGUUCCGCGAAGAGGGUGUACAGGCCGGAGGGCGCGGGGGAAAGGUGGACACGGGGCGGUGACGCUCUCGCUCUCGGAGACGCCGGCGGCGGACCCGGGAAGAGUUUUCUCUUCUUGUUAAGGGACGAGCUCCCUGGAACUGAAUCGUUCGGAGCAAGGGACUCGGUUUUUCCGCAAAGCACCGCGGCUCCAGCGGUGUCCGAGGUGCCGUCGCCGGCCCUUGAAAAUCCGAGACGCGUCUUACGAUCUCCGUGCCGGAUCGUACCCAUAUCCGCAUCAGGU
rnacentral:rRNA from 1 species